UGUCCAGGGUUGGGAAUCGAACCCACAGUAUUCCACUUACCGGGCAAGAUGCCAUGUCCACUAGGCUACCCUGGAC
rnacentral:tRNA from 1 species